CCUGCACAUAGGUCAAUCAUUGUGGUUACUAGUUCUGUGUCCCCUGAGCAGUCUGGCUGGCUGGCACUGUCCUUGCUCUCUAGGAAUUGCUGUCUGAAAUGUAUAUAUAGCAUGAUGCAUCUCGGCAAUCUGCAAAAUAGGAUUUGGGAUCACCAAAAUAUAAACUCCAGUACCAACCAAACUUGAGUCUAUCCAUGGAAUCGUAGAAAAAGAAUAAUCACAUAAUUGCUGCCAGAUUCCAUCAAAGAGCUCUUUAUUCAGGGAAGAUGCUGCCUUGCCCAGCUUAUGUGAGUUUCCCUGUGACUUCUCAGAAAUAUCAUUUGUGUAGAAUGAAGUCUGUGUCUGCCCAUUAGAAUAAGAUUCCAUUAAAUAACUAAAUCAUAUUCCACGUUCAUCCAGCUACUUCCUGAUGAUUUGGCUUUCCUGAUAGUUUUCUAAGAAAAGAGAAUCUGUUGGUCAGUUUAGUGGAGUGUCAUUGGUUGACACUUGCUGUAUAUUAAUUAGGUGGUUUAUUUAUCA
rnacentral:lncRNA from 1 species